GAGUUGGAUCAUGGCUCAGGACGAACGCUGGCGGCGUGCUUAACACAUGCAAGUCAAGGGGGCCCAGCAAUGGGCAACCGGCGAACGGGUGCGUAACACGUGAGUGACCUGCCUCUCCGCGGGGGAUAGCCGGCCCAACGGCCGGGUAAUACCGCAUACGCUUCCUCCGGGGCAUACCGGGGGAAGGAAACUUCCGGGGCGGAGAGAGGGGCUCGCGGCCUAUCAGCUAGUUGGCGGGGUAACGGCCCACCAAGGCGGUGACGGGUAGCUGGUCUGAGAGGAUGGCCAGCCACAUUGGGACUGAGAGACGGCCCAGACUCCUACGGGAGGCAGCAGUGGGGAAUCUUGCGCAAUGGCCGCAAGGCUGACGCAGCGACGCCGCGUGUGGGAGGACGCCCUUCGGGGUGUAAACCACUGUUGCCCGGGACGAACGGCGCGUUUCGACGCGCGUGACGGUACCGGGUGAGGAAGCACCGGCUAACUCCGUGCCAGCAGCCGCGGUA
rnacentral:rRNA from 1 species